rnacentral:rRNA from 1 species
AGAGUUUGAUCAUGGCUCAGAGCGAACGCUGGCGGCAGGCUUAACACAUGCAAGUCGAGCGGGCGUAGCAAUACGUCAGCGGCAGACGGGUGAGUAACGCGUGGGAACAUACCUUUUGGUUCGGAACAACACAGGGAAACUUGUGCUAAUACCGGAUAAGCCCUUACGGGGAAAGAUUUAUCGCCGAAAGAUUGGCCCGCGUCUGAUUAGCUAGUUGGUGAGGUAACGGCUCACCAAGGCGACGAUCAGUAGCUGGUCUGAGAGGAUGAUCAGCCACAUUGGGACUGAGACACGGCCCAAACUCCUACGGGAGGCAGCAGUGGGGAAUAUUGGACAAUGGGCGCAAGCCUGAUCCAGCCAUGCCGCGUGAGUGAUGAAGGCCCUAGGGUUGUAAAGCUCUUUUGUGCGGGAAGAUAAUGACGGUACCGCAAGAAUAAGCCCCGGCUAACUUCGUGCCAGCAGCCGCGGUAAUACGAAGGGGGCUAGCGUUGCUCGGAAUCACUGGGCGUAAAGGGUGCGUAGGCGGGUCUUUAAGUCAGGGGUGAAAUCCUGGAGCUCAACUCCAGAACUGCCUUUGAUACUGAGGAUCUUGAGUACGGGAGAGGUGAGUGGAACUGCGAGUGUAGAGGUGAAAUUCGUAGAUAUUCGCAAGAACACCAGUGGCGAAGGCGGCUCACUGGCCCGUUACUGACGCUGAGGCACGAAAGCGUGGGGAGCAAACAGGAUUAGAUACCCUAGUAGUCC